GAUGAACGCUGGCGGCGUGCCUAAUACAUGCAAGUCGAGCGAACAGACGAGGAGCUUGCUCCUCUGACGUUAGCGGCGGACGGGUGAGUAACACGUGGAUAACCUACCUAUAAGACUGGGGUAAUUACGGAAACCAGCUGCAACUACUGGCAAAUAAGUCAAACGGGUGGAUGCAUUGGUUCAUCCGGCUUUGCUGGUAAGUAUAAGCCGAUGCCGGAUUAGCUAGUUGGGUAGGUAAGGGCCUACCAAGGCAACGAUGCGUAGCUGGCCUGAGAGGAUGAUCGGCCACACUGGAACUGAGACACGGUCCAGACUCCUACGGGAGGCAGCAGUAGGGAAUCUUCCGCAAUGGGCGAAAGCUUGACGGAGCAACGCCGCGUGAGUGAUGAAGGUCUUCGGAUCGUAAAACUCUGUUAUUAGGGAAGAACAAAUGUGUAAGUAACUAUGCACGUCUUGACGGUACCUAAUCAGAAAGCCACGGCUAACUACGUG
rnacentral:rRNA from 1 species